rnacentral:rRNA from 1 species
AUUGAACGCUGGCGGCAGGCCUAACACAUGCAAGUCGAGCGAGCGGCGGACGGGUGAGUAAUGUAUGGGGAUCUGCAUGAUGGAGGGGGAUAACUACUGGAAACGGUAGCUAAUACCGCAUACCAUCAGAUGAACCCAUCUGGGAUUAGCUGGUAGGUAAGGUAACGGCUUACCUAGGCGACGAUCCCUAGCUGGUCUGAGAGGAUGACCAGCCACACUGGAACGGAGACACGGUCCAGACUCCUACGGGAGGCAGCAGUGGGGAAUAUUGCACAAUUGGCGCAAGCCUGAUGCAGCCAUGCCGCGUGUAUGAAGAAGGCCUUCGGGUUGUAAAGCACUUUCAGUCGGGAGGCGUUACCGACAGAAUAAGCACCGGCUAACUCCGUGCCAGCAGCCGCGGUAAUUC